rnacentral:rRNA from 1 species
GAGCGGCGAACGGGUGAGUAACACGUGAGUAACCUGCCCUGGACUUUGGGAUAACCCUCGGAAACGGGGGCUAAUACCGGAUANGACCCUUGCCUCGCAUGGGGUNGGGUGGAAAGUUUUUCGGUCUGGGAUGGGCUCGCGGCCUAUCAGCUUGUUGGUGGGGUGAUGGCCUACCAAGGCGACGACGGGUAGCCGGCCUGAGAGGGCGACCGGCCACACUGGGACUGAGACACGGCCCAGACUCCUACGGGAGGCAGCAGUGGGGAAUAUUGCACAAUGGGCGGAAGCCUGAUGCAGCGACGCCGCGUGAGGGAUGACGGCCUUCGGGUUGUAAACCUCUUUCAGCAGGGACGAAGCGUAAGUGACGGUACCUGCAGAAGAAGCGCCGGCCAACUACGUGCCAGCAGCCGCGGUAAGACGUAGGGCGCGAGCGUUGUCCGGAUUUAUUGGGCGUAAAGAGCUCGUAGGCGGCUUGUCGCGUCGUCCGUGAAAACUUGGGGCUCAACCCCAAGCUUGCGGUCGAUACGGGCAGGCUAGAGUUCGGUAGGGGAGACUGGAAUUCCU